rnacentral:rRNA from 1 species
GCUGGCGGCGUGCCUAAUACAUGCAAGUCGAUCGAUGAUGCCCCAGCUUGCUGGGAGGAAAUAGAGGCGAACGGGUGAGUAAUACGUAAGCAACCUGCCCACGAAGACCGGGAUAAUCCCUGGAAACGGGGACUAAGACCGGAUAGGUAACAGAACCGCAUGAUUUUGUUAUUAAAGGUUAAAAACACUGGUGGAUGGGCUUACGGUGCAUUAGCUAGUUGGUGAGGUAACGGCCCACCAAGGCGAUGAUGCAUAGCUGGUCUGAGAGGAUGAACAGCCACACUGGAACUGAGACACGGUCCAGACUCCUACGGGAGGCAGCAGUGGGGAAUAUUGCACAAUGGAGGAAACUCUGAUGCAGCGACGCCGCGUGAACGAUGAAGGCUUUCGGGUCGUAAAGUUCUGUCCUAGGGGACGAUAAUGACGGUACCCUAGGAGGAAGCCCCGGCUAACUACGUGCCAGCAGCCGCGGUAAUACGUAGGUGGCAAGCGUUGUCCGGAUUUAUUGGGCGUAAAGGGAGCGCAGGUGGUGACUUAAGUCUGAUGUGAAAGCCCACGGCUCAACCGUGGAGGGUCAUUGGAAACUGGGUCACUUGAGUACAGAAGAGGAAAGUGGAAUUCCAUGUGUAGCGGUGAAAUGCGUAGAUAUAUGGAGGAACACCAGUGGCGAAGGCGACUUUCUGGUCUGUGACUGACACUGAGGCUCGAAAGCGUGGGGAGCAAACAGGAUUAGAUACCCUGGUAGUCCACGCCGUAAACGAUGAGUGCUAAGUGUUGGAGGGUUUCCACCCUUCAGUGCUGGAGUUAACGCCAAUA